CCUUGUGACCGUGUUUGCAUACA
rnacentral:siRNA from 1 species